AUUGAACGCUGGCGGAAUGCUUUACACAUGCAAGUCGAACGGCAGCACGGACUUCGGUCUGGUGGCGAGUGGCGAACGGGUGAGUAACAUAUCGGAACGUAUCCAAUAAUGGGGGAUAACGAGUCGAAAGAUUCGCUAAUACCGCAUACGCCCUACGGGGGAAAGCUGGGGACCUUCGGGCCUGGCGUUAAUGGAGCGGCCGAUAUCUGAUUAGCUAGUUGGUGAGGUAAAGGCUCACCAAGGCGACGAUCAGUAGCUGGUCUGAGUGGACGACCAGCCACACUGGAGAUGAGACACGGUCCAGACUCCUACGGGAGGCAGCAGUGGGGAAUUUUGGACAAUGGGCGCAAGCCUGAUCCAGCCAUUCCGCGUGAGUAAAGAAGGCCUUCGGGUUGUAAAGCUCUUUCGCAAGGGAAGAAAACUUAGCCACUAACAUUGGUUGAGGUUGACGGUACCUUGAUAAGAAGCACCGGCUAACUACGUGCCAGCCGCCGCAGUAA
rnacentral:rRNA from 1 species